UAAGGCCUACGGGGGGCAGCAGUGGGGAAUAUUGCACAAUGGGCGCAAGCCUGAUGCAGCGACGCCGCGUGCGGGAUGGAGGCCUUCGGGUUGUAAACCGCUUUUGUUCAAGGGCAAGGCACGGUCUUUGGCCGUGUUGAGUGGAUUGUUCGAAUAAGCACCGGCUAACUACGUGCCAGCAGCCGCGGUAAUACGUAGGGUGCAAGCGUUAUCCGGUUUUAUUGGUCGUAAAGGGCUCGUAGGCGGUUCGUCGCGUCCGGUGUGAAUGUCCAUCGCUUAACGGUGGAUCCGCGCCGGGUGCGGGG
rnacentral:rRNA from 1 species